rnacentral:lncRNA from 1 species
GAAAGAAUUUGGUGGAUAAACCUGGCAGGCACCCAUUUCUGGUAACAGCUGGAUUCCUUUUAAUCUCAUAGUGUAGUCCCCCCAUUAUGUGCUUACAUUCAUUUGAGAGGGUCCAAUUUAAACAAGUAAUGAAACCAAGAUCUCUCAACUCUUAUCCACACAGAAGAGCUCUCUUCCAGGGCUGCUGGUGAAAGCAGGUGCAAUCAGAGGAGCCAUAAGUCACAGCGAUUCUGCAGGUGAGGAGGAAAUGAUGCCAUGUGGCGAGACUUGGCCUGUUCAAGGAAAAUCAUCAGGAUCACAAAUACAGUUUCCUCCAUGAAAGCUGGCUUCUCCUAAACAGUAAC